rnacentral:sRNA from 1 species
GACUCUCCAGUCCUCAGUCACCUUGGAGAAAGAAGUGUGGAUCCUCAGAUUCCAUCUUUUCCAACUCCAAGGAGGGGGCUCCCUGCCUGAGAGCCUGCGGCGGGUCCAGGAGCUGACAGGCCGCUCUGUGGAGUUUGAGGAGGUGGACAUUUUGGACCAGGGAGCCCUACAGCGUCUCUUCAAAAAGCUUUAUGGCAGUCAUCCACUUUGCGGGGCUCAAGGCCGUGGGCGAGUCGGUGCAGAAGCCUCUGGAUUAUUACAGAGUUAACCUGACCGGGACCAUCCAGCUUCUGGAGAUCAUGAAGGCCCACGGGGUGAAGAACCUGGUGUUCAGCAGCUCAGCCACUGUGUACGGGAACCCCCAGUACCUGCCCCUGGACGAGGCCCACCCCACGGGUGGUUGUACCAACCCUUAUGGCAAGUCCAAGUUCUUCAUCGAGGAAAUGAUCCGGGACCUGUGCCAGGCAGACAAGACUUGGAACGCAGUGCUGCUGCGCUAUUUCAACCCCACAGGUGCCCAUGCCUCUGGCUGCAUCGGCGAGGAUCC